GUGCUCGCUUCAGCGCACAUCUACUAAAAUUGGAACGCUACAGAGAAGAUUAGCAUGGUCCCUGCGCAAGGAUGACGCGCAAAUUCCUGAAGCGGUCCAUCUUUUU
ensembl:snRNA U6 U6 spliceosomal RNA